CAGUGGCAGAGUUUAAAGGGUGUGUGACUGUCCUCUGAGUAGCAGCUGAAUCAGCAUCUCUGGAAACAGAAAUACAGUGAAUUUACAAGACAAUACGCUCAGAGAGUUGGAUGAAUUAUAUUGCAAUCACUUCACAAUGCACAUAGGAGUCAAAAUAUUGUCCAUCUCCAGUGUUCCAUUGCUUUUUGUCUUGAAAUGGUUUUGGGGUGAUUUUACUGUUACUGUACAUGUUAAUCCUGCAGUUGUCUUGGUUGGGCAAGCUGUGACAUUGUCCUGCCAUCUCAUAGGCCAGAUCCCCGCUAACAUUCAAGUGCAUUGGUACAAAUUGGAAAGGAACAAAAAUACGACAUUAUAUUUUUACAAUAGCACAG